UACGUAGGGUGCGAGCGUUGUCCGGAAUUAUUGGGCGUAAAGAGCUCGUAGGCGGCCUGUCGCGUCGGAUGUGAAAGCCCGGGGCUUAACCCCGGGUCUGCAUUCGAUACGGGCAGGCUAGAGUUCGGUAGGGGAGAUCGGAAUUCCUGGUGUAGCGGUGAAAUGCGCAGAUAUCAGGAGGAACACCGGUGGCGAAGGCGGGUCGCUGGGCCGAUAUUGACGCUGAGACGCGAAAGCGUGGGGAGCAAACAGG
rnacentral:rRNA from 1 species